CUCGACAAUAUUGUGAAAGAAUAUAUACCAUCUUUAAUCAGAACAACAGUGCUAAUGUGGGUGUCACGUUAAAUUUAGUGAAGUCGCCUUUAGUUCUUGACUGAAGGCUAGAAAUAAGACCAGAUCUGUCAACUUUUCUGUUACUCAAGACCUCUGGAUAGAUUUAUAGAGGAAAUAUAAGGACACAAGCAUCUUUUAAAGUUGAAGCUCUGUUCAUCCCUCAAGGACACAUCUUUAAGUUAACUCAAAAUGAUACUGGGGCUUCAAAAGAAUAACUGUCAGAGAAAUGUUUCCAACUAGGAAGUUUCAUUCAAUUAAAAUAAAGUGAGCUGUAUUUCAUCAGAAUAGGUAAUGUUCUAGAAUUCCAAGGCAGAGAAAAUUGCAUCUACAGGUCAGGCUGCUUUUAUUUAUGGUUUUAUUAAAUUGUAUUGUUUAUUACCAUGUACAAGUUUAUAACCCACACAGUGAU
rnacentral:lncRNA from 1 species